CCUACGGGAGGCAGCAGUGAGGAAUAUUGGUCAAUGGCCGGGAGGCUGAACCAGCCAAGUCGCGUGAGGGAAGACGGCCCUACGGGUUGUAAACCUCUUUUGUCAGGGAGCAAGGUGCAGGUCGGGACCUGCUGGUAGAGUACCUGAAGAAAAAGCAUCGGCUAACUCCGUGCCAGCAGCAGCGGUAAUACGGGGGAUGCGAGCGUUAGCUGGAUUUAUUGGGCUUAAGGGGUGCGCAGGCGGGGGCACAAGUCAGCGGUAAAACCGCGGUGCUCAACCCCGCCCCGCCGGUGACACUGUGUCCCUUGAGUGCGCGAAGGGUAGGCGGAAUGCGUGGUGUAGCGGUGAAAUGCAUAG
rnacentral:rRNA from 1 species